CAUUAAUAACAAAAGAGAUUGGUUUAUAUAUGCAAACUAAGGAACACAAUGUAUGCCCUACAUAUUAAUUUUAACAUACAUGUGUCAAGGAUGGAUUGUAUAGGUAUUUCACCCGCCAUAACCUAAUGAAGGGCCCAUGGAUCAAUAAGUGACUGUAAGAAGUUACUUUACCCAUAUGUGGAAGUUUAGGUUAAAAUAAUCUCUGAAUUAAUAACAGACAUCCUGCUGUAUUUUCUGUGUAUAUUAAGAUUGCAUAUAAUGUAAAAGUCUAAAAUUUAGUAUCUCAGAAACACAAAUUAAUAAAUGGUUCUUCAAUUUUACAAUGCACACUGACAUAUACCUACACAUAUAGAAAGGUAUAUUAGACUUGUGCAUUCAGAGUUGUACUAAUUGCAAACUUAAAUUUUUUUUACAACAUUUGCAUAUUUGGUCAAUUUGUACAAAUCUUUGAAAACGGGGCAAGGUCCCCCAUGAAACAAACAAAAA